UACGGGGGGAGCAAGCGUUGUUCGGAUUUACUGGGCGUAAAGGGCGCGUAGGUGGCCAACUAAGUCAGACGUGAAAUCCCUCGGCUUAACCGGGGAACUGCGUCUGAUACUGGAUGGCUUGAGUUUGGGAGAGGGACGCGGAAUUCCAGGUGUAGCGGUGAAAUGCGUAGAUAUCUGGAGGAACACCGGUGGCGAAGGCGGCGUCCUGGACCAAUACUGACACUGAAACGCGAAAGCCAGGGGAGCAAACGGG
rnacentral:rRNA from 1 species